GUGAGUAACACGUGGGUGAUCUGCCCUGCACUUCGGGAUAAGCCUGGGAAACUGGGUCUAAUACCGGAUAUGACCAUGGGAUGCAUGUUCUGUGGUGGAAAGGUUUACUGGUGCAGGAUGGGCCCGCGGCCUAUCAGCUUGUUGGUGGGGUAAUGGCCUACCAAGGCGACGACGGGUAGCCGACCUGAGAGGGUGACCGGCCACACUGGGACUGAGACACGGCCCAGACUCCUACGGGAGGCAGCAGUGGGGAAUAUUGCACAAUGGGCGAAAGCCUGAUGCAGCGACGCCGCGUGAGGGAUGACGGCCUUCGGGUUGUAAACCUCUUUCAGCAGGGACGAAGCGAAAGUGACGGUACCUGCAGAAGAAGCACCGGCCAACUACGUGCCAGCAGCCGCGGUAAUACGUAGGGUGCGAGCGUUGUCCGGAAUUACUGGGCGUAAAGAGCUCGUAGGCGGUUUGUCGCGUCGUCCGUGAAAACUUGGGGCUCAACCCCAAGCUUGCGGGCGAUACGGGCAGACUUGAGUACUGCAGGGGAGACUGGAAUUCCUGGUGUAGCGGUGAAAUGCGCAGAUAUCAGGAGGAACACCGGUGGCGAAGGCGGGUCUCUGGGCAGUAACUGACGCUGAGGAGCGAAAGCGUGGGUAGCGAACAGGAUUAGAUAC
rnacentral:rRNA from 1 species